rnacentral:rRNA from 1 species
UCGACGAAGAUAUUUAGAAUGAGAGCUUCGGCAGGAUUUUUAUCUAUCUUAGUGGCGGACGGGUGAGUAACGUGUGGGCAACCUGCCCUGUACUGGGGAAUAAUCAUUGGAAACGAUGACUAAUACCGCAUGUGGUCCUCGGAAGGCAUCUUCUGAGGAAGAAAGGAUUUAUUCGGUACAGGAUGGGCCCGCAUCUGAUUAGCUAGUUGGUGAGAUAACAGCCCACCAAGGCGACGAUCAGUAGCCGACCUGAGAGGGUGAUCGGCCACAUUGGGACUGAGACACGGCCCAAACUCCUACGGGAGGCAGCAGUGGGGAAUAUUGCACAAUGGGCGAAAGCCUGAUGCAGCAACGCCGCGUGAAGGAUGAAGGGUUUCGGCUCGUAAACUUCUAUCAAUAGGGAAGAAACAAAUGACGGUACCUAAAUAAGAAGCCCCGGCUAACUACGUGCCAGCAGCCGCGGUAAUACGUAGGGGGCAAGCGUUAUCCGGAAUUACUGGGUGUAAAGGGAGCGUAGGCGGCAUGGUAAGCCAGAUGUGAAAGCCUUGGGCUUAACCCGAGGAUUGCAUUUGGAACUAUCAAGCUAGAGUACAGGAGAGGAAAGCGGAAUUCCUAGUGUAGCGGUGAAAUGCGUAGAUAUUAGGAAGAACACCAGUGGCGAAGGCGGCUUUCUGGACUGAAACUGACGCUGAGGCUCGAAAGCGUGNGGAGCAAACAGGAUUAGAUANCCUGGUAGUCCACGCCGUAAACGAUGAGUGCUAGGUGUCGGGGAGGAAUCCUCGGUGC